AGAUAGAACACUAUUUAUCCUGGCAUGGGAACACAACAGAGGAGGGCUACUGGUACACAUACUUCAAUUGUGGAAAUAGCUUGCUAGAAGUUCCUGAGAGCCUGAAGGCUGGCACCCAAUGUAGAAAGCUAAUGCUUUGUGAGCAUCCAGUGGAGUGAGGCCUCCCUUCCAUCUGCAUGUGGCUUCAGAAAAAAUACAGGUCCCUAUGUUAUGGCUGCAAAGCAUGAACAUUCUAAGGAUGAUGCCUAUCUAAAUACCAAGCCCUGAGGUGUAAUGGAUACAUAUCGGGGUGCUUGAUCUUGCUGUUCCACUGAGUGAACAGCAAUGGAAGAAAGGGCUCGCAACCUUCCACAGCAACAGAAGAAAGGACGGCUUGGAACUUCUGGGCUCUCAAGAUGUCCAGGACGAAACCAAAACUACAGACACUGGAGGUUCCAUCCCAGACCAGGCAGAAGUGAGAAGGAACUAGAGAGAUGGUCAGUCUGCCCUGUCCUUUAUUCCCUCCAUCAGAGGCCGAAGCUGAGCCGGGUGCAUGCACAGACCAAUGGAUGCUACUUUCAAAUUCUCUGGCUCCAGGAAAGGAGGAAUGGAUAAGACUGAAAAUGAGAAGAGGGCGAUGGUUCAACAAUAUUCAUCAUGCAUCCUAGAGAAUGAGAAAGGAUGAACAAAAUGGAAUGUACUGGACAGGGAAGACAGCUACAUACCUGCUUUACAGGAGUGCCACAAUUACAGUCCAAGAGCAGCAGCUGAGGAAGCAUUUUCAUUCAAAGUCCCUAUUUUCAGGUUCCUAAAAAACUUCUAGCAAAUAGAGCCCUGAGAAUCCCUAACUUGAACAUUUAUUCACCUUCCUUCAUAUUUGAAAAUUUUCUUUCUAUUGUGUCAGUCCCACUGGCAGAAAAGAGGUGAACACAGCUCCCCCAGAUUCAUUCACUGCCACGGUCAAGACAAAAGGUUCAUAAGAAAUGAGGCAAAGUGUGCCCAGCCUGUACUGAUCUAGUCUUGAAUUCUGAUCCUCAUGUGAUAGCAUCUUCUGCUACCGCCUAACUUCUGGGGAAGCCUCAUUAAAUUUAAUAUUCUCUCAUUCUGAAGCUGGAACUGGGUAUUCAGUUUAGACUUAUAGAUAAAACAGUCUUUAAUACAUUGUGUCUUUUAUCA